rnacentral:tRNA from 1 species
GUUGUCGUGGCCGAGUGGAUAAGGCGAUAGACUUGAAAUCUGUUGGGAUCUUGCAGUGCAACUUCGAAUCCUGCCGACAACG